rnacentral:rRNA from 1 species
UCUAAGGCCGUCCGAGUUGUAGUCUAGAGAAGUGUUUUCCGCGCUGGACCGUGUACAAGUCUCUUGGAACGGAGCGUCAUAGAGGGUGAGAAUCCCGUCUUUGACACGGACUACCAGUGCUUUGUGAUGCGCUCUCGAAGAGUCGAGUUGUUUGGGAAUGCAGCUCAAAAUGGGUGGUAAAUUCCAUCUAAAGCUAAAUAUUGGCGAGAGACCGAUAGCGAACAAGUACCGUGAGGGAAAGAUGAAAAGCACUUUGGAAAGAGAGUUAAACAGUACGUGAA